rnacentral:rRNA from 1 species
UACGUAGGGUGCAAGCGUUAAUCGGAAUUACUGGGUGUAAAGGGUUCGUAGGCGGUGCGGCAAGUUGGGAGUGAAAUCUCUGGGCUUAACCCAGAGGCUGCUUCCAAAACUGCUGUGCUUGAGUGUGGGAGAGGCGCGUGGAAUUGCAGGUGUAGCGGUGAAAUGCGUAGAUAUCUGCAGGAACACCCGUGGCGAAAGCGGCGCGCUGGACCACUACUGACGCUGAGGAACGAAAGCUAGGGGAGCAAACAGG